rnacentral:lncRNA from 1 species
AAUUAAGUACAUAUACUCUGUGGGCUUUCCCAGAACUAGAGGGGAAAUGGAAGCACCUGUAUAAAGCAUUGUGCUGACAGGCACUUUAAAAACUACUUCAACCACCUUUUAUUGGUAAAGCUGCUUUUGAUCCCCUGCUGGAGAGUUCCUUUAAGUCAACUGACAAAUGAAUCAAGCCUAACAAGAUUCUGUAAAGAAAUAAGCUAAGGGAAAAUUUCCUAUGGCCUGAGAAAAUUUCUUGAUAGCUCAGUUCACACAGGAAACGUGAACUCUUAGAAACUGACCAUAGUAAAUGCAGGAGAGAUGGGUACCUGAUAAUGACACAGAAAAAGUGACCUAUAUACACAUUACAACUCUGAAGUACAUACUA